GGCAAGUCUGGUGCCAGCAGCCGCGGUAAUUCCAGCUCCAAUAGCGUAUACUAAAGUUGUUGCAGUUAAAAGCUCGUAGUUGGAUUUCUGGUCGCCAGCCUCGGUCCGCCCCUCGCGGGGUGUGUACCAGGGGCUAGCAGCCAUCCUCGGGGAGAGCAUGUCUGGCAUUCAGUUGUCGGGCUUGGGAUCCUCGUCAUUUACUGUGAGCAAAAUAGAGUGUUCAAAGCAGGCUUAGGCCGUUGAAUACAUUAGCAUGGAAUAAUAAGAUAGGACCUUGGUCUAUUUUGUUGGUUUGCACUCCAAGGUAAUGAUUAAUAGGGAUAGUUGGGGUAUUCGUAUUCAAUUGUCAGAGGUGAAAUUCUUGGACCGGACGAAGACGAUCAGCAGCGAAAGCAUCUGUCAGGGAUGUUUUCUGCGACAAAGGACGAAGGUCAGGGUAUCGAAGAUGAUCAGAUACCGU
rnacentral:rRNA from 1 species